GACGAACGCUGGUGGCGUGCCUAAUACAUGCAAGUCGAGCGAACUUGCGGGAGCUUGCUCCCAAAAGUUAGCGGCGGACGGGUGAGUAACACGUGGGCAACCUGCCUAUAAGACUGGGAUAACUUCGGGAAACCGGAGCUAAUACCGGAUAAUUCUUUUCUACUCAUGUAGGAAAGCUGAAAGAUGGUUUCGGCUAUCACUUAUAGAUGGGCCCGCGGCGCAUUAGCUAGUUGGUGAGGUAACGGCUCACCAAGGCCACGAUGCGUAGCCGACCUGAGAGGGUGAUCGGCCACACUGGGACUGAGACACGGCCCAGACUCCUACGGGAGGCAGCAGUAGGGAAUCUUCCGCAAUGGACGAAAGUCUGACGGAGCAACGCCGCGUGAGUGAUGAAGGUUUUCGGAUCGUAAAACUCUGUUGUUAGGGAAGAACAAGUACUAGAGUAACUGCUAGUACCUUGACGGUACCUAACCAGAAAGCCACGGCUAACUACGUGCCAGCCGCCGCCGUAACAC
rnacentral:rRNA from 1 species